rnacentral:rRNA from 1 species
UACAGAGGGUGCGAGCGUUGUUCGGAAUUACUGGGCGUAAAGCGCGCGCAGGCGGCCCUUUAAGUCCGUCGGUCAAAUGCCGGGGCUCAACCCCGAUGAAUGCCGAGGAUACUGGAGGGCUGGAGACACGUAGAGGCAAGCGGAAUUCCGGGUGUAGCGGUGGAAUGCGUAGAGAUCCGGAAGAACACCGGAGGCGAAGGCGGCUUGCUGGGCGUGAUCUGACGCUGAGGCGCGAAAGCGUGGGGAGCGAACAGG